rnacentral:rRNA from 1 species
GACGAACGCUGGCGGCGUGCCUAACACAUGCAAGUCGAGCGAUGAAACCCUUCGGGGUGGAUUAGCGGCGGACGGGUGAGUAACACGUGGGUAACCUGCCUCAAAGAGGGGAAUAGCCUCCCGAAAGGGAGAUUAAUACCGCAUAAUAUGUUUUGAUCGCAUGAUCUUGACAUCAAAGGAGUAAUCCGCUUUGAGAUGGACCCGCGGCGCAUUAGCUAGUUGGUGAGGUAACGGCUCACCAAGGCGACGAUGCGUAGCCGACCUGAGAGGGUGAUCGGCCACAUUGGAACUGAGACACGGUCCAGACUCCUACGGGAGGCAGCAGUGGGGAAUAUUGCGCAAUGGGGGAAACCCUGACGCAGCAACGCCGCGUGAAUGAUGAAGGCCUUCGGGUUGUAAAGUUCUGUCUUCUGGGACGAUAAUGACGGUACCAGAGGAGGAAGCCACGGCUAACUACGUGCCAGCAGCCGCGGUAAUACGUAGGUGGCAAGCGUUG